ACCUCAGCCUCUCAGGUAGCUGUGACUACAGGUUUCAAGCAAGACGAUGUGAGGAAACCCUCAAAUCCAUCUCCCAGAGAAGUUCCAGACUGGAAUUUUUAAGGGGAUCAUGGAGAGUGAAGGGCUGGAGAAUUGGGGUCGGAUAAGGGGGAUGGAUCCAUCAGGAUGUGAAAACUACGUUCUUUGGUGUCAGCUCCUCAUGGGGGCCUUCAGACCAACUGAGCCAGUAGUGUGGUCAGUAUGCAGGACCUGAAGGACUAUUUUCAAGGGAAAACUCAUCUUUCACAAUAUGUAAGUUGAUAUCUAUAGAGCAGCUAAGGGAAAUGGUAAUCUAAGGUCUACAUGAUUCUCGAACACUAGGCACCAGACGACCAUGAAGGAGCAGGCCAGAGAGCAAGCUGACCUCAUGGUUCAUGCUGAAUAUGCUGCAAGCUUGGCUUAUUCUCCUUUCUCCCCUCUCUCCUUCCCUGGUUAAUUUUAUGAUGUUUACAGGGCAGUUUCAAAAGGGAGUUCUAGGAGGCAAUGGAGAAUACAAGAAGCAAGACAAAGCAACGGCGUCUGUGGGCAGAUUGCUUGCCCAGCGGUCUGGUGAGGGCGGCUUCUCUGCGUUCAGUAGCUCAGUCAACCUAUCUGGACCUCAUACAAGACAAUGGGUCUUUCUAACAGUUAUAUAUUUUGCCUAAUUGGCUAGAAGAGAGGGUGGUGAUGAAGUUAAAUUGAAGGAAUACGUUCUGAUCUGAAGGUUACACUUGUCUCCAUUUAAUUUUAAGCAGCUUUUCCUGUCAUUCUUUAAAUUACGUUGCCCUGUAAUUCCUGCAUAGGAGCCUAUUCUUUUCCUUCAUGGCACUUGCCAGAUUUUGAAAUAUAUUGAUUUGUCUUUUAUUUCUUCAGUAUCUUGCCCCCCACACGUAGACUACAAGGUUUAUGAUUUGGAUCAAGACCUGUUUACCAAUGUCUAUCUAGCACACGGCUAAUAGAGAACAGAAGCUAUGUCCUUGUUUGAGAAGAAAAGAUGAACUGAAAACCUUACUGGAUGAGUGUACAAAUGCCCUGAAGGAGUCAUCUGCUGUAAGAUUGAUCAAACCAUGAAGUCUAUCACAGUGAACAGAACUCCAAGUAAAAGAGAGAAGGAGUCUGACUUUUAUUGAUCAAGCCUGCGUGAUGUGCCUCUCCCUAGAGCACUAUU